rnacentral:lncRNA from 1 species
AGUAUUGUAUUCCUGCCAUUUGUGACACAUUGCCUCAUAGAGAUUCUGUCCAAUUUCACUGCCACAACACAGGGAAGUAGAACAAAGGGGGAUCGAACAUGAAAGUUUUCUACUAUUAUGUUAUAUUCACAUCUUUUUUUGUUUCAGGCAAGAUGGAGAGUAUUUGAGCGGUCAAAUAGAGGAUAUGAGAAGAAAAAAAGAAUAACUUCUAUGUGGAAAAGUAAGCAGAUGACUAUCAUUUCUUUUGUCUGUUGUCAGUGCUAUAAAUCUCUGCUCUUUGGACUAUCAAUAAUUUCAUCUAAUGUUAAUUUCUUUACUAAAAAAAUACUUACCGAGCAUUGACCUAAAUAGGAAUAAGUAGAAAGUUGGCAUCCAGCUAUGUUUUCAAAGAAAAAGAUUGCUAAUUCCAGAAGAUGACGCACGAUACGGAGAAGCAUGUAAAAUUAGUGUGCUGUUGGCCUCUACACUGAGAAGAGCACUGGUUCUAAGAUGUUAUUCUCUAUUUACUUUCAGAAUUUCGGUUACGGAGUAUCAUCCUCUUUAUUUAGGGCUGGAAGAGAUGUUUAUUGAAUUUUUCAUACUACUUAAAUCUGAACUAGCUCGCAAACGGUGUUGAUAAAAUCAAACAUGCUAUUAGCCUUGAUGUCUAUACAGGUGCCAGACACUUUACAUACCUUAUCUCGGCUAGUUGUCAAACUCUUGUAAUCCUGUUUAGCAGAUGAGGACUAUACAUCCUAAAGAGAUAAAGUAACUUGCUUAAGGUGCCUAGAGUACACCCAGUUCUUUUGACUCUAAAAUCUUUUCCAAUAUGACACCAGCAUUUCCCAAAAUUCCUGUUUUAUUGGUAUAUCAUUAUGGGUUAAACAGAAAGUUUGAUUUCAUAUAUAUGUAUAUAUGUUAUAUAUGUGUGUGCAUAUAUGUUCAUAAUAUAUACAUGUUUAUAUAUUACUUCCACUUAUAUACGUGUAGUGCCUUGAGAGCUUGCAUCACAAUUUACCCUCUUGCCCCAAAGAAUACAAUGCAAAACAAAAAAAACAAAACAAAACUCUGUGUGUGUGUGUGUUUGCGUGUGUGCGUGUGGUGUGUGCAUGCCUGUGUUUAUGAGAGAGAGAGAAAGAGAGAGAAAUUGUCCUCAGAACUCUCCUUUGCUAAUCCUUGUAGUACAAGUAAAGGAAAAAUAAAGAAGUCAAGGAAAUAGCAGGUUUUAACCAAUGAAGUUUGGGGUAAAUGAAGAGUUUAGUGCCUAAUUCAGUGAAGGUAUUUGGACUUUAUGACAUGAAUGAGUCUACCAUGUACUGCUCACAGAGACAGGGAAAACAAUUCAGCAAAGUGUUUCAGUGACUGUUGCAAUAAGGAUCAACAUUUGUGUAUUUUAUGACAGAAAUUAUAUGCUACAGUGAUAUUCAUGAAUUUGGGGAUUUAUGAGAGCUCCAGAAUAUAUCCCUCCCAAUGGACAAGAGUCUACCAGAAUGUUUCCCAAAAUAUGUUAUGAAGUAUACUGGUUCAGAAUGUUAAGGGCAUUAUGUGAAAUGGAGAGUUCAGUGGUCUAAUCAAUUUGGGGAAAGUUUUACCAAAAAAGUUAGAUUUCUUUACUGUAGAGCAAAUCAAAGCCUUUUAUAGGGUCAAGUGCAUUUUAAAUCUCCAAGAGGUUAUAUAGUUUACAGCUCUUCCUAAACUU